CAGACCCACAGAUCCUGGACCCAUGGAUCAUGACCCACAGAUCCUAGACCCACAGACCCCAGACCCAUGGAGCCCAGACCCGUAGAUCCUGCACCCACAGAUCCUGGACCCACGGAUCCUAGAUCCACAGAUCCUGGACCCACAGACCCCAGACCCACGGAGCCCAGACCCAUGGAGCCCAGACCCACAGAUUCUGGACCCACAGAUCCUGGACCCACGGAGCCCAGACCCACAGAUCCAGGACCCACAACCUCCAGAACCACGGAGCCCAGACCCACAACCUUGAGACCCACAGAUCCCGGACCCACGACCUCCAGACCCACAGCUCCUGGACCCACAACCUCCAGAACCAUGGAGCUCAGACCCACGGAUCCUGGACCCACAGCCUCCAGAGCCACGGAUCCCAGACCCACGGAUCCUGACCCAUGGAGCCCAGACCCACGGAUUCUGGACCCACAGAACCCAGACCCACAACCUCGAGACCCACGGAUCCUAGACGCACAACUUCCAGAGCUAUGGAGCCCAGACCCACAGAUCCUGGACCCAUGGAGCCCAGACCCACAGAUCCUGGACCCACAGCCCCCAGACCCACGGAGCCCAGACCCAUGGAUCCU
ensembl:lncRNA